rnacentral:rRNA from 1 species
UACAGAGGGGGCAAGCGUUGUUCGGAAUUACUGGGCGUAAAGGGCCAGUAGGCGGCCAACUAAGUCGGAUGUGAAAUCCCCAGGCUCAACUUGGGAACUGCAUCCGAUACUGGAUGGCUUGAAUUCGGGAGAGGGAUGCAGAAUUCCAGGUGUAGCGGUGAAAUGCGUAGAUAUCAGGAGGAACACCGGUGGCGAAGGCGGAUCUCUGGGCCUGUUCUGACGCUGAGGCGCGAAAGCUAGGGGAGCGAACAGG